CGCUGUAGCUUGUAGUGUAUAAAUUAAUCAUUAAUACAUGUAUAAAAAGUACUUCAAGUGCACGCUAUAGUAUCAGUACUCCUUUGUAUAACUAAAACUUAUCACUAAUUAACUAAAAAAUGUGUCUAAGCUCCAAGACUUUUCACUGUACAACUAUUUUUAAGUAACUAUUGUUUAUUUCUAAAAAUUAAAAAUCAUAUAAAUUACAUAUUAAUGUUUGAAUCAAACAGAA